GAGAUAGGUGAGCCUGGCCAGUUCGCUGGUCCUGUUAACAAGCCUCCUCAUAAAGAUGAGAAUGAUAAG
rnacentral:lncRNA from 1 species